rnacentral:miRNA from 1 species
UGGCAGUGUACCUCUUAGUUAGCU